rnacentral:rRNA from 1 species
UACGUAGGGGGCUAGCGUUGUCCGGAAUCAUUGGGCGUAAAGAGCGUGUAGGCGGCCCGGUAAGUCCGCUGUGAAAGUCGGGGGCUCAACCCUCGAAUGCCGGUGGAUACUGUCGGGCUAGAGUGCGGAAGAGGCGAGUGGAAUUCCUGGUGUAGCGGUGAAAUGCGCAGAUAUCAGGAGGAACACCAAUUGCGAAGGCAGCUCGCUGGGACGUAACUGACGCUGAGGCGCGAAAGCGUGGGGAGCAAACAGG